ensembl:lncRNA
GGCCACCUCCUCCUUCUCCAGGUGUCCCAGUGGCCACCUCCUCUUUCUCCAGGUGUCCUUGUGGCCACCUCCUCCUUCUCCAGGUGUCCCCGUGGCCACCUCCACCCACUCCAGGUGCCCCAAUGGCCACCUCCUCCUUCUCCAGGUGUCCCCGUGGCCACCUCCUCCCUCUCCAGGUGCCCCCGUGGCCACCUCCUCCUUCUCCAGGUGUCCCCUUGGCCACCUCCACCUGCUCCAGGUGCCCCCGUGGCCACCUCCUCCUUCUCCAGGUGUCCCCUUGGCCACCUCCACCUGCUCCAGGUGUCCCAGUGGCCACCUCCACCUUCUCCAGGUGCCCCCGUGGCCACCUCCACCCACUCCAGGUGUCCUUGUGGCCACUUCCAUCCACUCCAGGUGUCUCAGUGGCCACCUCCUCCCUCUCCAGGUGUCCCCGUGGCCACCUCCACCCACUCCAGGUGUCCCCGUGGCCACCUCCUCCUUCUCCAGGUGUCCUUGUGGCCACCUCCACCUGCUCCAGGUGUCCUUGUGGCCACCUCCACCCGCUCCAGGUGUGCCCAUGGCCACCUCCACCCACUCCAGGUGUCCCCGUGGCCACCUCCUCCUUCUCCAGCUGCCCCCGUGGCGUCUCCACCCUGCUCGGAGGUGCCACUCUGUCACCUCCCUGUCCCCUUCGGGGGUCCCUGUGGCCUCCGGGUGACCCCUCCGGGUCACGUCCCCCUCUCGGUGCCCCUCUGCCACCUGCGGGACCCCCGGCUCACCCCUCCAGGUGCGCCCUGCUCCAGGUGCCGCCUCCAGCCGGGCUCUCCCGUCCUGCUCGCCCCUCGCCCGCCUCGUGCCCCGCCUGUCCCGUUCCGCUUCGCCGGCCUUGGCUCCGUCCCCUCCCCUCCCCCCGGUACAUAAAUCUAUUUUUGUUGCGCGGGAGAUGUUUAAUUUUUUAUUAUUAUUAUAACGAGGAUAAUUAUUGUCGCCCUGUGCCGUGUUCGUGCCCGCCCGGGGCCGCCCCGGGCCCCCCGUCCGCGCUCGUCCCGCCCCAAACGUGGCCAAUAAAAGCAGCUUCCAGCGGCUCCGCGGCUCCCG